UCAAAUUAGUUGACUCCAUGUGUCCAGACUGAGGACUGAAGACUCUGGUCUGUAUCGGUGUGAAGUGGAGUUUGAUCGUCGCUAUGGCUCUAAAACGUGUCGCCUGAACAUAACUGCAGCUGCUGAUCAGAUCCAAACUCAGAGACCAACUUUGACUCCAGAACCAGAGAGACGAGGAAGGACCUUCAUCUUCAUCCCACUGGGACUGACAGCAGCUCUGAUGGUUCUGAUCAUGUUGAGGAUUUGGUUCAGAGA